GAUCAAGCUCGUAAGAGUGCAUGGUGGAUGCCUUGGCGUCCAGAGGCGAUGAAAGACGUGGCAGCCUGCGAAAAGCUUCGGGGAGCUGGCAAACAAGCGAUAAUCCGAAGAUAUCUGAAUAGGGAAACCCGCCACCGCUGAAUAAGCGGUGACACUGUCGCAUGAAUGUAUAGUGCGAUGGAGCCAACUCAGGGAACUGAAACAUCUAAGUACCUGAAGGAAAAGAAAUCAACCGAGACUCCGUUAGUAGCGGCGAGCGAAAGCGGACCUAGCCCAAACCUGUCUUCGGACCGGGGUUGCGGACCCUCGAGGAGUUACAAAAGCGCAAUCAGCAGAACAGCUUGGAAAGGCUGGCGAUACAGGGUGACAGCCCCGUAUGCGACGAUUGAUGCUCUCCGUUGAGAGGUGUUCCAGAGUAGCACGAGUGCCGUGAAACCUCGUGUGAACCCGGGGGGCCCACCCUCCAAGGCUAAGUACUACUGGACGACCGAUAGUGAACAAGUAUGGCGACUGAAAGGUGAAAAGAACCGCAAUAAGCGGAGUAAAAAGAACCUGAAACCAUGCAUCUACAAGCAGUGGAAGACCUAUGGCCUUUGGCCCUGGUCAACCGCGUACCUUUUGCAUAAUGGACCGGCGAGUUAGUCCUACGUGGCAAGGCUAAGCUGCUUAAGCAGCGGAGCCGUAGCGAAAGCGAGUCUGAUAAGGGCGCUUUAGUCGCGUGGGCUAGACCCGAAACUGAGUGAUCUACCCAUGGUCAGAAUGAAGCAUCCGUAACAGGGUGCGGAGGUUCGAAGCCGUAAACGUUGAAAAGUUUUGGCAUGAACUGUGGGGAGGAGUAAAAGUCUAAUCAAACUCAGAGAUAUCUGGUUCUCCCCGAAAAUGCUCUAGGGCAUGCCUCAGGUCAUACGCUAUGGGGGUAGAGCUACUGAAUGGAUCGCGGGGGCUACCCGCCUACCGCCUCCAAUCAAACUCCGAAUACCACAAUAUUUAUCUUGGGAGAAAGUCCACAGGUGAUAACGUCAGUGGACAAAAGGGAAACAACCCAGACCACCAGCUAAGGCCCCCAAUAACAUCUAAGUGCGUAAGGAAGUUGGGUUUCUGUGACAGCGGGGAUGUUGGCUUAGAAGCAGCCACCAUUUAAAAAGUGCGUAAUAGCUUACCCGUCGAGAAAUCCGGCACCGAUAAUGAACGGGACUAAGGUGUUAGCCGAAGCUGUGGCUGUCAUGAAGCGAGAGCGACAUGACGGGGUAGGGGAGCGCUGUUAGUGCAGAUACAAGGCGUACCGCAAGGAGCGCUGUUGGGCCUAACAGGUGAGAAUGCCGGUUUAAGUAACGAGAAAGAGGGUGAAAAUCCCUCUCGCCGUAAGCCUAAGGUUUCCUGGGGAAGGGAGAUCCGCCCAGGGUUAGUCGGCCCCUAAGGCGAGGCCGAAAGGCGUAGCUGAUGGACAGCAGGUUAAUAUUCCUGCACUCCGUGUGGCGGUCGAUGUAGUCGUGCGUUUCUUCAAGAUGCAGCCCAUUAUUAGAUUAGGGCUCCCGCAAGGGCGAGGCCGAUUUGUUGCCGAAGUGUGCGGAGAAGGAACCGAGAAAAGCGGCUGCGGACAAGACACGGAACCGUACUAAAACUGACACAGGUAGGCGAGGAGAGUAUCCUCAGGCGCUCGAGAGAACGGUCCUUAAGGAACUAGGCAAAUUAACCCCGUAACUCCGGGAUAAGGGGUCCCCCAUUUUAGCAAUAACAUGGGGGGCGCAGAGAAUCGGGAGCGGCGACUGUUUAUCAAAAACACAGGACUCUGCUAACUCGCAAGAGGAUGUAUAGAGUCUGACGCCUGCUCGGUGCGGGAAUGUUAAGGAAGGCGGUCAAGGGGUUCGCCCCUGAAGCUGGCGACCGAAGCACCCGUAAACGGCGGCCCUAACUAUGAGGGUCCUAAGGUAGCGAAAUUCCUUGUCGGGUAAGUUCCGACGCGCAUGAAUGGCGAAACGACUGCUCCACUGUCUCGAGGACCGACUCGGUGAAAUAGGACUUGUGGUGAAGAUACCACAUACCCGCGGCAAGACGGAAAGACCCCGUGAACCUUUACUGUAUCCUGAUAUUGGAGCCGGUUAACACAUGCGUAGGAUAGGUGGGAGGCUUUGAUCCGCUGGUUUCGGCCAGCGGGGAGCCAUCGUUGAAAUACCACCCUUGUAUUAUUCGUCUCCUCACUCUGACCCGUGAAUCCGGGCAGAGGACAGUGUUAGGUGGGUAGUUUGACUGGGGCGGUCUCCUCCUAAAAAGUACCGGAGGAGCACAAAGGUCGGCUCAGCACGGUUGGCAAUCGUGCGUAGAGUGUAAGGGUAUAAGCCGGCUUAACUGUGAGUUAUACAGAACGAACAGAUACGAAAGUAGGUCCUAGUGAUCCGGUAGUCCCGUGUGGAAGGGCUAUCGCUCAACGGAUAAAAGGUACUCCGGGGAUAACAGGCUGAUGACCACCGAGCGUCCAUAGCGGCGUGGUCGUUUGGCACCUCGAUGUCGGCCCAUCGCAUCCUGGGGCUGAAGGCGGUCCCAAGGGUUUGGCUGUUCGCCAAUUAAAGCGGUACGCGAGCUGGGUUCAGACCGGCGUGAGCCAGGUCGGUCCCUAUCUUCCGUGGGCGUACGAAACGUGACAGAAGACAACCUUAGUACGAGAGGAUUGGGUUGUAGGCACCUCUAGUGCACCUGUUGUCCCGCUAGGGGCAGCGCAGGGUAGCCACGUGUCGAAAGGAUAAACGCUGAAUGCAUCUAAGCGUGAAGCCCCUCUGAAGAUGACGUUUCGAUGUUCGCAAGAACGAGAGACCCCUUGUAGACUACAAGGUUGAUAGGCCAGGUGUGUAAGGGCUGAGAGGCUCUUAGCUGACUGGUACUAACGGUCGAUUGCUUGAUCGC
rnacentral:rRNA from 1 species